AUGAAGAAGAUCAAGAGUGGAAAAGAGCUAGUUGAAGAAGUAAGGAAGAUUGAGAAGAACAUCAACGCUAGCAGCACUAUUUCUUCACAGCUUGAGCUAAGUGUUUCUGGGAUUCCCCUUGAUACAUGUGAGGUUCCAACACCUUCAUAUCCAGCCAAGGAAGAUAGCAAGUGCCUUGAGGAAGAGAUAUCUCAGAUUGAAGAAGAUGAACUAGAAGACAAGGAACAAGAUGACCAAGAGCUUGAAUGCCCAAGUGAUCAAGACGAAGAUCCGUUGCCUAUCACUCCUGAAGAAGUAAAAGAAGCUCCUGUAGUUGAAAAUGAAGAACCAGAAAUUCAUUUUCCCGUCGUCAUACAAGAGCGUGAUAUAGCAGGUUUAUCUAAUCCUCUCGAUGACAUGCGUCCAUAUGAAUUGUUUGCUACUACCUUGCAUUGCAUGAUGUUAUCUGUUAAAGUAGAUUUGAAGAAGUGUUUGCUUGGAUAUGAUGAUACAUAUACUGUUGGUGGCAUUGCGCAUAUUAAUGAUGAUCACACUUAUUUUCCUCAUGCCAAACCUAUGCUUAAUGAUAAAUAUCAUCCUCAUGUUAGUAUUGAGCUUGCUGAUUCCUAUCAUACUCGCCAUGUUCUUUAUAGCUAUGCUUAUGUAAUUGUGUACUCUAUUCAUCAUUUAGAGGGUAUUACCCCUUUCACUUGUAUGGUCUCUUUUGUCGAGUGCUCUUUCAGGUUUUUGCUACUGCACCGUUCACUACAUGCUGACCAGGUUCGAGGUGACAUUCCUUGGGACCCCGGUGGAUUUAGAGCAUGGUGA
rnacentral:rRNA from 1 species